UAGGAAAGUAUUUAAAAUUAAAUAAAAUCUAAUUUGCAUUUAGAAAUUGUUAUUAACCUUUUCUAA
rnacentral:tRNA from 1 species